AAUCUUAGACAAUGGGCGCAAGCCUGAUCUAGCCAUGCCGCGUGAGUGAUGAAGGCCUUAGGAUCGUAAAGCACUUUCGCCAGGGAUGAUAAUGACAGUACCUGGUAAAGAAACCCCGGCUAACUCCGUGCCAGCAGCCGCGGUAAUACGGAGGGGGUUAGCGUUGUUCGGAAUUACUGGGCGUAAAGCGYACGUAGGCGGAUCAGAAAGUAGGGGGUGAAAUCCCAGGGCUCAACCCUGGAACUGCCUYAUAAACUCCUGGUCUUGAGUUCGAGAGAGGUGAGUGGAAUUCCAAGUGUAGAGGUGAAAUUCGUAGAUAUUYGGAGGAACACCAGUGGCGAAGGCGGCUYACUGGCUCGAUACUGACGCUGAGGUGCGAAAGUGUGGGGAGCAAACAGGAUUAGAUACCCUGGUAGUCCACACCGUAAACGAUGAAUGCCAGUCGUCG
rnacentral:rRNA from 1 species